rnacentral:rRNA from 1 species
CCUACGGGGGGCUGCAGUGGGGAAUAUUGCACAAUGGGGGGAACCCUGAUGCAGCGACGCCGCGUGAGUGAAGAAGUAUUUCGGUAUGUAAAGCUCUAUCAGCAGGGAAGAAAAUGACGGUACCUGACUAAGAAGCCCCGGCUAACUACGUGCCAGCAGCCGCGGUAAUACGUAGGGGGCAAGCGUUAUCCGGAUUUUAUGGGGGUAAAGGGAGCGUAGACGGGAGAGCAAGUCUGAAGUGAAAGCCCGGGGCCCAACCGCGGGACUGCUUUGGAAACUGCCCGGCUAGAGUGCUGGAGAGGUAAGCGGAAUUCCUAGUGUAGCGGUGAAAUGCGUAGAUAUUAGGAGGAACACCAGUGGCGAAGGCGGCUUACUGGACAGUAACUGACGUUGAGGCUCGAAAGCGUGGGGAGCAAACAGGAUUAGAUACCCGAGUAGUC